rnacentral:lncRNA from 1 species
CCCACAUCCCCUCCCCGUGAAGUACAUCCUGUGGUUAAUGGCAUGGUAUUGAGCAUUGCAUCCAUGUAUGUCUAGCAUUCCUUGGAUCCCUGGAGAAUGCUACUUGUUGAAGAUUUGGAUGUACCAAAGCCAGAUGUAUGCUCAGAAGACAUCUAGUUGGGCACACUGCUGGUGUCUGGGGAAUGACAUGGCAGGAAAUGAAUCUAAUCAACCUGAAUCCGAAGCAGAUGCUCUGACCCUGUGCUCAGUGCCCAAGCAACAGCUAACAGGUGGAUGGAAACACGGGCGGUGCAGACGGCUCAGAGGCUAAGGGUGCUGCUUCAGGCCUAAAAAAACCUGGCUUUGGUUCCUGGAAUUUUCAUGACAGGAGGAGAGAGCCAACUUCCACAGGUUGUCCUCCCCCCCCCCCCCCCCCCCCCCAAAAAAAAAAAAAAAAAAAAAAAAAGUAAGUCCUAAACUUUGGGGUGACGCUUUAAUGGUGGAGGCGGUGGUAACAAUACAUGAGUUUAACCUUUCAGGGUUUUAUGAUGCAUUAAUUCUCUUAUCAGAAUAGCAUGGUUCUGGAAUAUAAGCUUCAUGGAGGCUCUUGCUCACCAACAAAUUCCCAACACCUAGAAUAAGUGCUGGCAUUUUCAAUGGUCAUUGAAAAAUGAAUAAAUGUAUAUUUUGUGAGCACAUUAGAGAAGGAGCUGACGAAGGGACCCUCUGAAUUUGCAGAGAAAAGAAGUGAGGGAGACAACAGCUCUGAUGGGUGUGAGCUCUGCACCCUGAGCUGGCAUUAAAGGAUAGUCUGGUAGAUAAAGCAGGGUAAACAACAUAACUAGACAUCAGUUCUAAGACAAAGAAAUAUUCCUUCUUUUGUAUGUGCUGGGGGUGUGGUCUGGGCAUUUUCUGUGAAGACAAAUUGGUUUUCGUUUUAAAAUGAAUCUGUGUGAGAGAGUCAAGGAUGGGAGGGAGCAGUUGGCAAAAACAAAAGAUGCUGGUUAAAUGACAGGUGACAUUUUCAGAAGUACGAUGGUCUAUCUUGAAGAAAGCAGACUCAGCCAUCCUGUUUCAGUUGGACUCCACUUGAACUAUUAAUUCAUUUUGAAGAGGAAAAGACACACUUUAGACUUUCAGAGUGGCUAUAGAUACAUGGGAUCUAUGUGUGUGUUUUUCUGUUUGGAAGUAUAAAUGGUAGUAUUGGAAGCUGGAACAAGGCACUGACAUACAAGGUCUGUACACCACUGAUUGUGAGAAGCACUGUAAGAGCAGAUGACCAGGGCUAAGAGAAGGCAUGCAACCCCAGACAGCCAGGCAGAAGCCUCUGGAGGUAGCCUGGGUGAUGGAAGGACCAUGGCUGACAGGCCCUGGGAGAAAGGAAAGCAAGAAGCCUUAAAAAUACAUUCCCUCACUGAGAAUUUCCAGCUUACAGAACAGUAGAGAAGGUAAUAGCCGUAAAAUAGUGGAAAUACUACCAUGAAGAGGGAAGUUGAGAUUUUAUUGUUGAAAGACUUGUGAGUGGAUGAAGCCAACCGAACUAACUCUGAAGAGAUAGAGUUUCAUUUAAGAAAGAACUUUCUAGAAGAGAAAAUUGUCAAGAGCUGUAAAGCAUUUUUUAGGAAAUGAAAAUAAAAGGGAAAGAUGACUUUAAAGGACACCUGGGGCCUUGGAAGUGAGAGCUAACUUUAAUGUCCUGUGUUACUUGGGGCUUUGGAAGGUAGAGCUAACUUUAAUGUUCUUUCUUACUUAGGACUUUGGGAUGAAGAGCUAACUUUAAUAUCCUUUCUUACUUAGGGCUGGUUAGUGCAGCCAGAGUAAACAGUUUAGUUUGGGCUUUCCCCAUUUUAUCUUAAAGAUGAACAUCCUUUAGGUAUAUGUGGACUAUAUUUAUCAUUAAGUCCCACAUGCGCCACGCAGAAGACAGUGGAGGCUUGUGAAACAGCUUUCUGGGCAACAGAAUAGAGAAGGACAGACACAGGAACUAGAGACCACAGAAAAGUUCAUGGAAAAUCAAUAGAUUUACUUGGGGACAAAGUGCAGAGAAGCUAGAACGUCGGACAAGAAGAAAUAGUGUAAAAACAGCAUGGAAACGAACAACAGACCAUAGCAGAAGGUUCUGGGGUACACCUGGAAAUCUUAGGGGAAUUCCACUAUCAAUAAUAUGUGGAUUCAGCUACUAGACAGCACCCAGGGGCUGGAGAUAGCACCCAGGGACUGGAGAUAGCACCCAGGGGCUGGAGAUAGCACCCAGGGACUGGAGACAGCACCCAGGGACUGAAGACAGCAUCCAGGGACUGGGGACACCAUUCAGCUACUAAGUACACCUACUACUCUUCCAGAGGAUGCAAGUUCAGCUCCCCAAACUCACGUCAGGAGGCUUACAACCACCCACCUAACUCCAGUUUGGAGGAGGGGAGAUCCAAGACCUCUCACCUUGGCAGGCACUUGCGCACAUGUACAAACCUACACACAGACACACAUAUACAGACAACUAAAAAAUAAACAAGCAAGAGCAGGACCCAGGCAUGAGAUUUGGAAAGAAAAGGCAAUGGGAAGAGAGAAUGUAGGAUGUACUGUCAAACAAGGUCUCCAGGUCAUAGGCCUGUAUGCUUUUCAACUCGUGGGUUGCAAUUCUGACCUAAUUCCAAGUCUGUGGAACUAAGAGUGCCAUUGGUAGAUACAAGAGCUGCUGAGGAACUCUAAGGGCCUAGAUGGAAAUAUCCUAGAAGUGUAUGAGGGGUGUCCAGGUCAUUUCCUUACUAGUUCUCUGGCUUUUCAGGAAGUCAAAGGGCGAGAGGGACUAAUCCAGAGCUGGAAAGAGCUGGCAUGGAUGGAACGCCUUUGGGCUGGUUCACUGCUGUGCGUCAGUAACCGCUCUCUCCCAUACCUUCACUUUAGCUAACGCUCUGUGGAUUCCAUUAUGAAUCUCUUAAAUUUAUAUUAGUCUUUAGGUGUCUCCACUAUCUUCUUUUGCUAGCACAGUGGAAGACACUGUGUUUUCUGCUCUAGUUUCCCAGUCCCCGGCUGUCAUUUUGUCUGAGUUUCUUUACUUUACACUCCAUGUAAGUUUUUAGACAAGUGGAAGCAGAUGGCCUGGCUUAGUCAGUGUUAGGUUUGGUUUUCUUUUUGGUAGAAGUGCUUGUAUAGGUAGCAUUUUCAUUUUUCUAGAAGAUACAAGUGUGCAGAUGCUUCUCUCUGCUUGGUGUUGGCAACUGUCUGAGGCUAUUGUUGAAUAUAAGUUCUUAUGGCAGAUAUCACUUAGCAGAAAAUGCUAGAAUUUCCUGGCACCUAAGUUAUUGCAGGGAGGUUCGAAAGCUUUAGCAAUCCUCUAUUCCUUAGGACAAACCUCUGCCCCAGAAGCAUUUAUUGAAUAGAUGAUUUCAUAAUGACAAUUUAUAAAAAUAAUCUGAGAGCAACAUGAUGACAGUUGGCUGUGUAAAUCUUUAUGCUAUCUAUAAUAAUUUUACAUGUAGUAGGGACAGUUACAUAGAUUUUGCCUUAAGCAAUUUUUCUUAAAUGUUCUUUCUAUAUCAUCAGUUAUUCUCCCAAGUCAUCUGGCAUUUUUUCUAACUCCUACUACUAACAUAACAAGGGUAAAUAUCUGCUACUAUUAUAGAUGAUUAGGUGUUUGUAUCUAGCUAAAGGCACACUUUUAGGUUCAUGUACUACUCGGAAAUGUAGGUUUGGGCACAAACACACUCACCCCUUUUUCAUGGUUAUACUGUUGUGACUGUUCACAGGCAAAGCAUGGUUAGCAUGAUAAGCCCUGGAAAAACAAAGCUUUGGUUUCUUCAUCAUUUGAGAAGUGGCCAGGGUUUCUAAGAUUAAGGAAGCUUAUAAAUCAAACAAACAAACCCCGGAAACUGCAUUGGGAAGCAAUCUCAUUAAAAGAGGGUGACGCGUCAUUGCUGCGUUUUAAUGUCUACACUCCUCUCUUGCCAGCAUUCAGUUAGCAAAAGACAAAGGUGAAAAUGUAGGAGUCAGGCCAUUCGGUGACCUUUUGGAAAGGCCUGUCCACUUCCUGUAACCAUUGUGAUUCAAUUUCUGUUUUAAAAAAUACAAAAACUAAACAAACAAAAACAACGUUGGUUCCAUGAGGUAUGAAAAGAGGAAAGGGUCUCUCGGAGGAAACCAAGCAAAUUAAAGAUAGUAAAUUACCGUGUCGGGUAAAAGCCCAAGUAAGAAUCACCAUGCUAGAAUGGCCAGAUGGUCUGGAUAAUGCAGCCUAUAUGGCCAGGGAAAGUCACAGCUGUUUAUACAUGCCUCCGAUGACAGAUGUUCAUUUCGAAGAGAAACCUUCUCCAGUGAACCAGUGAGACUAUUUAAUUGAAGUUUAUUAUGAAAGCAGCAGAAAUUUAAUAAUAGAACAGAGUUUUAAAGGGCUCUGAACUCUCUGCUCGGCACGCACCCGUGCUCGGCUCUCCAAAUGCAUUUUUUAACUGUAUAUUAGUUGGGGCUAAUCAUCACCAAAUGUGCAAGUAUGAAUUCCACAUACUUGGUCUCACCACCUUCAUUGAGUCCCAUGUGGCAGAGAACUUUCCACUCAAAUUUUUUUCAUUUAUUUAUUUAGCUCAUAAAUAAAGUCAUGCACAAUUAUGAUACAGAAUACAGUAUGUUCACAAUGGCAUGGCUAAAUUAAACCAAUUAACAUAUUAU